UAACCAGGAUGUAGCUGGAGCCUCUGAAA
rnacentral:piRNA from 1 species